UGCAUCUAUGCUCUCCAUUCUUAAAACUUGGAGGCCUUUCUUUUGAAUCCCCUCAGAUAUGUUUUCUUUUUAGGCGGUGCUAUAUAUUUGGCAUGCGCCUUGAGCCCAACUAGCUGACAAUGAAGCAUGGUCGAUGUCUCACUUGGAGAGGUUGCACAGAUAAGAUUUUCUAUUGUACUCAGAAUCAAGCAUCAAGUUUUAGUGAAAACUCUAAGUUCAUCAAGGGCUGCUAGAUAGGAAGCAGAGUCACCGGGCAACAAGGUGGUGAUUUCACUAAGUUGGAGGCUUUAUGAUUUGGUGCAAGAAUUCCUUGGUAGAGGAGGCUGUAAUAUAGAGUUAGAGAGAAUCCACGAUUUGAAUUAUUUUUACUGGAUAUGUAUGUCGCAUAUAUGAAAGCGUGUAUUUUUUGUUUUAUGUGGGUGAUGUUGAGUUGAUCCUAGAUUUAUUCAAAGGAUAUUUGUCAUAUCUGUAUACAGUUCUAUUACAUUACCUAUCCAAUAAGAAGUGUGCUCUCAUGGAUAUUCAAUAUUGGUUUAACUAAAAUGUUUA